ensembl:snoRNA small nucleolar RNA SNORA5
CGCAGCCCAGUCAAAUUCGGUCCCCGUGCCCCCACGGCGGGGACCGGCCACCGGCUGCCACAGUGACCUCCGUGGGCACGAGCCCCGGGUCCCCUCCCGUGGGGCCGGGGGGCAAAUCCCACUGGAGACACGG